rnacentral:rRNA from 1 species
AGCGAACGCUGGCGGCAGGCCUAACACAUGCAAGUCGAACGGCUCUUCGGAGCAGUGGCGGACGGGUGAGUAACACGUGGGAACGUGCCCUUUGGUACGGAACAACUGAGGGAAACUUCAGCUAAUACCGUAUGUGCCCUUUUGGGGAAAGGAUUUAUCGCCAUUGGAGCGGCCCGCGUUGGAUUAGCUAGUUGGUGGGGUAACGUGCCUACC